rnacentral:rRNA from 1 species
AUUGAACGCUGGCGGCAUGCUUUACACAUGCAAGUCGAACGGUAACAGGGUGCUUGCACCGCUGACGAGUGGCGAACGGGUGAGUAAUGCGUCGGAACGCACCGAGUAAUGGGGGAUAACGCAGCGAAAGCUGUGCUAAUACCGCAUACGCUCUGAGGAGGAAAGCGGGGGACCUUCGGGCCGCGCGUUAUUCGAGCGGCCGACGUCUGAUUAGCUAGUAGGUGAGGUAAGAGCUCACCUAGGCGACGAUCAGUAGCGGGUCUGAGAGGAUGAUCCGCCACACUGGGACUGAGACACGGCCCAGACUCCUACGGGAGGCAGCAGUGGGGAAUUUUGGACAAUGGGCGCAAGCCUGAUCCAGCCAUGCCGCGUGUCUGAAGAAGGCCUUCGGGUUGUAAAGGACUUUUGUCAGGGAGGAAAUCCUUAGCGCUAAUACCGUUGAGGGAUGACAGUACCUGAAGAAUAAGCACCGGCUAACUACGUGCCAGCCGCCGCUGUAACAC